ACUGUCGUAGCUCAGCUUGGUAGAGCAACUGUUUUUACAGUGUGCCGCUGGUUCGAAUCCAGUCGACAGUA
rnacentral:tRNA from 1 species